GACAGAGGGUGCAAACGUUGCUCGGAUUUACUGGGCGUAAAGCGCGUGUAGGCGGGCGACUAAGUCGGAUGUGAAAUCCCUGGGCUCAACCUGAGGAACUGCAUUCGAAACUGGUCACCUAGAGUGAUGGAGGAGGAAAGCGGAAUUCCCGGUGUAGAGGUGAAAUUCGUAGAUAUCGGGAGGAACACCAGUGGCGAAGGCGGCUUCUGGACAUUUACUGACGCUGAGACGCGAAAGCGUGGGGAGCAAACAGG
rnacentral:rRNA from 1 species